rnacentral:rRNA from 1 species
CAGAGGGGGCAAGCGUUGUUCGGAAUUACUGGGCGUAAAGGGCGCUUAGGCGGCCUGUUAAGUCGAACGUGAAAUCCCCGGGCUCAACCCGGGAACUGCGUCCGAUACUGGCAGGCUUGAAUCCGGGAGAGGGAUGCGGAAUUCCAGGUGUAGCGGUGAAAUGCGUAGAUAUCUGGAGGAACACCGGUGGCGAAGGCGGCAUCCUGGACCGGCAUUGACGCUGAGGCGCGAAAGCCAGGGGAGCAAACGGG